rnacentral:rRNA from 1 species
UACGGAGGGGGCCAGCGUUGUUCGGAAUUAUUGGGCGUAAAGGGCGCGUAGGCGGCUUUGCAAGUGACGGGUGAAAGCCUUCGGCUUAACCGAGGAACUGUCUGUCAGACUGUGAGGCUUGAGACCGGGAGAGGUGAGUGGAAUUCCCAGUGUAGCGGCGAAAUGCGUAGAUAUUGGGAGGAACACCAGUGGCGAAGGCGGCUCACUGGACCGGAACUGACGCUGAGGCGCGAAAGCGUGGGGAGCAAACAGG